CCCUCUCCCUCCCUCUAUCUUUCCUCCCUCUCCCUAUCCUUCCUCCCUCUCCCUCCCUCUAUCUUUCUCCCUCCCUCUAUCUUUCUCUCUCCCUCUAUCUUUCCUUUGUCAGGUGUUUGAGGAUGACUGUGUACUGACUCAAGCCUCUGACUCCGGCUGUCCGUCUGAGGUCCUGUUGGAGCAGGAUGGUGUGUUUGAGAAGAGCAGCGCCCCAGACCAGCAGAACCCCCCCCAACAUGGACCACAUGGUGCUGGAGUGGGACCCCUCCGUCGACAUCGGGGGCCCCGUCUCCCAAUCCAACGCCGACUUGUCAUAUUUCAGCGCCAACACAGAUCGAGAAAAGCCAUUGGCCAGAGAUGGUGUAAAGAGGCGGAGUUACCUCAGCUACAUAGGCUCUCAGUCUGAUAUAAAUGACAGAGCAGCAGAGGAAAUGGUGAGUAGACCAAGCUCCUCCUACUGAUCUUUAUUUUGGCUCUUCGCUCGACCACUGUUCCCUUAGGCUCAGAGGCACACGCAGGUCAACAUGUUUUUGCAAUAUUAUCAGGAAUGUAAACUUGUGUUCAACUGGCAAAGGAAUUUGAAUAAUGCAUUGGACAGUGAAUACUGAAGUAUGUGUGAAACAAAUAAUGAUCCAUUGAAAUGAUGACACACAAUGUUGUUCUUCACUUCGAUUAACAAGGAGUUAUUGUGUGUACAAGAGGGGUGGAGUAUGUGUAUGUGAGGAAAAAGCUAACAUAGCUUUUUUUUUAGUUAAGCCUAAAGCCAAUACUUCCAUUAUCAUCGGUGUCAGUACAGAGAAGCUUUGUUUUGCUGGUGUGACUAAUAAUACUGAUUGUGUUGAACUCAUAACCAAACCCAUUGGAUUUUAUAGUGGAAGAUGCAGAAAUGUAGGUAUGAUUUUAGCAUCUGAUUUAAGCCAGAAAUAUAAAGACUACAAAGACCCGUCAGGGUUUUUGCAUAUUAAAACCAAAAAUCUCAAUGAAAUGUUUGUGUCAAUUUGACCUGGAAUGAACUAUCUAUCCUCACUUGUGGCUGGUGUUUCCAGAGGCCGGAGAGGAGGUUUGAGUAUGCAGGCCAAGUGGUGUUCUCACCUCCCAUAAUCCAGAGUGUCAGAGAUGGCAAACCUCUACUCUCUGGCCACUGGACGACCUCCAUGCCCGAUGGACCCUCCCAGUAGCCUGUGAGCUUUGACCCUGACCGCAUCAGCGCCUGGCUGGGACAGACGCACGGACACACCGUCCCCUCUAAAACCCCCUCGGUCCAACAGCACAGAGCCUGCUCCAAGGUUGUCCAGACCGACAGUACUUGGAAGGUACACCUUAAACCCAGUAAAACUCCUAAGCCUUUUAACAGACUGAUCCAGUGCCCCCCCCCCCGAACCAUAAUAUCGCCUCCAAAUUAGAGUGAAAACACUGUCUUAGACAGAAACCCUCUGAUCCUUUGAGGACAUUCAACUUGGCACACACCCAAAAAAAGAACAGACGGCGCAGUCUGAACCGAGUGAAGUUGGAGGAAUGAGGUGCUAGCAACAGUACCUUUCAUUGAGCAACAUAUUGCAUCCCAUGAGCAUCCUCUAGCUUUCUGGAAUGGCAGAGAAGUGUACCCUGGAGCCUCCACGAGACUCCUGACCUUCCACGCUGAUUAGGUUCUGCUUGUGGUCCAGAGAGGAGAGUGUACUGUACAGUGAGACAUGCACGCAAAGGUGUUUGGUUAUAUGCAGACCUGUAUGUUGGAAAAGGCUCACUUUUACUGCGAAGAACUCUAGGAAUUGACUUUCCCAUGCAUUAUUUGCAAAAAAUGCAUGGAGAAUUUAACACUGGUGAAACCGCAAAAAAAGUAAAUAUUCAUUGAAUCAUGUGAAUCUUGUUGCAUGCAGCUUUAAAUUCAUUGCCCGCUAUUUUGGGUGUGUCACAUCGCCUACAAAGUGUCUAUUUUAUACCUCGUCUUUCCCGUAAACAAAUCAAUAAGAUGGUGAUUUAUAAAUGCAUCGGCGUAGCAGAGGCUAUGUUUUUUAAGUGUCACCAAAACAGAAACCGCCCAGGAAUAUUUCCCCUUCCGUUUUUUUGGGAGAGGGGUCUUUUUUCUUUCUAAUUAAGCUGUCUGAAGCCCAGCCUGAUUAAAGCAUUCUGUUUGUCAGAGGGGGACACGUCCGUAAGAAAGUGAAUCGCUGUGCUGAUGGAAAGCCUGAUUUCACUACAAAGCCUCAAACCUUGCGGAGGACCCAUUUCCAUUUCAAAGGGGCUCCUUUAAUGUCUCUGCGCUCGAGGCUUAAUUGGCUGCUUUACAGGGACGGAGGAGAGCUCUGGCGUUAACUGGCUUUUUAAUGUCUGUCGUAAUUGCAGGCGAGCGCAUAAAGACCAGACACACCAUAGGCCACGAGCGUUAGUCAAAACCCAGUGAGGGGAUAGAGAGAGAUCGUCGGACAAGGGGCUGAUGGGUUGGUCCCAUGAGAGUGUGUGUGUGUGUGGCAACCUUAUUGGGCCGCAUCUAUGAGUCUCUUUUGAUUUACAAUUGGCCUUUGUUGCAUAUAAACACUGUCAUGUAGAAUGAGUCUAGCCUGUGCCAGGUACAGGUACAUCCCCGUUCAGACACGCCCCCAGGAGCUGUGUUUGACCCCCUACACCUUACAGUCAUGUGACCUCCAGCUCAAGUCUGAUAGGAUGGCUUAUAAGACUUCAAUUAAACCCACAGGUAACAGUAUCACAUGAUUUAUUAUUGCCGUAACAGUUAAUGGCAGCUUGUAAGAUCAAGUUAAUUCACCUGUUGUCUUCAAAAUGUACAGCAAUGUACUGAAGAUGACAGGUUGUAUGCAGAUCACAGUAGAAGUAAAAAUAAAUAAAAAAAUAAUAGUAUCUUUGCCAGCUGCCUUGUAAAAAGUUGUAUAGCUAGGCCUACAGUGCAGAGGCCACAAUGAAUGCAUCCCCUGUCGGGUUAGCUGUGUGUGCGUGUGUACACAAUCCCUCUCUCUGUUCAUUCCUCUUUCUCUGCCAGUCUCCAGAGGAAGAGCCACACUGCAAUGCCUCAUGGGAGGUGGUCCAUAGUGAGCAACGGCCAGAUGAGUGCCCUAAAAGACAAACACAGUUCCGCUUUUGGCCCCUGGGGGCCGUGUGGGUACUAAAGACUCUGAGGAGCCCAGUGUUCCUGGUCGUCCUGCUGGCUGUGUUCCUAGCCCUGCUGGUCUUGCCUAUAGCACUCCUCAUGGACCCAGAGUGCCACCGCUCCAACUCCCUGGCUCUCUCCUUCCAACUGGCCCUGAGCUACGUCAACGGGCCCCCGCCAACCCGAGGGACAAAAGUGUCACAGAGGGGGCACAACACACCCCUGGUGAGCCUGGAACACACCUGAUUCAGGGGUCGGACAGUCCCAGAAUACCUUUGCAUUUCAGGGCCUUGCGUAAUGCAUUAACAAGGAGGCCAUAUGAGAAAAACGAGAAAUUAAGAACUGUUUGGCCCAAUCAAAAUGUGGGCUUGGUAUUUAUCUGAAUCCCUCCACCAACCUGCUGGCAGAAGUGGCCCAUGACUUAAUGGGCCUGAUUUGUAACGAUCUCUAAUGGCAUUCAUAAUGUGUCUUACCAUGCCAGAGUAGCACUUUUGUUGAUUGGUCUGUCAUGAUGGUUUUGUAACUUAUUUAUGUGUGUGAUUUAGAAUCUAUAUGGAAGACUUAAUAACGGCAAAUGCUUUGAGCAUUUCUCUUUGGGCAUUUGAUGAGACAAAGUACACAUUUAUCUGCAUAUCAACAUUUAUUAUGUCAAACCUAAAGAGAGCUUUCGAUUUAUCCGGUUCUAUCUGCAUUUUUGACAAAAUUGAGUUAUUGACAUAGCCUUGUUCUGUUCAAUGUUCUCUACCUAUACAGUACUUUAAAUACCCCAAUUUAUGUUAAGUUCAAAAGAGUGCAAGAUAACAUUGCUAACGCCAUUCAAACCAAUGCAGGUUCGGAACUUUUAAAGCCAAUUAUCUCAGAAUUAUAUUUUAACAAAUAGAUCGUUAUAGUCCCAAGCUCUCGAUUUCUCAUGGGAUUUCUGCAAAUGAAUGAUACUGAAUGCCCGAGUUCGGAUUUACUAGGGAGACGUGCGGAAAUACCCCAUGUGUAAGUAAUUUGUAGGUCAAUGGGAUAGGUGACCUGGCUAAUGCACUUACAGUAGGAUAAAUUAGCAGUCAUUUUGUACUGCUGCAUGUGUGUGAUCUUGUUUGCGUGUGUGAGGGUUGUUAGUAUAUACUCAAUAAAUGUAUUUUACAUCUGUUGCGAUGCCAACAGGGUCCAGCUGGGAAACAAUCAGCCAAAAGCCAAUGCAUCUGAGGCCAGUGAAGACAGUGUAAGCCUCUAAACAUAAUGUAUGUGUUAUGUAAUGGUUUAUGGUCCGUGCUUCUAUUUUGACACAGUGGAUGCAAUCCUGGGUCUCAUCUAUACAACGUCACAAAUGUAAUGUCAAAGUCUGAGAAGUGAAAAAAAAAAAAUGUAAAAUACAUUUCUACUCCAUAAUAUUACGAGGUACAUGCACCUCAUCUGGAAAUGUUGGAGUAUGUCUGCCUUGUGCUUGGGUGUGUGUUUGUGGGGGAGUGAUUGCACAGACCGUCCAGUGUGUAUCAGAGUGGAAAUGUUGUCGAAAUGUAACAAGUCAGAUGCCUCAGCUUCUUGCAUUAAUGGAGGAUUUUUAAUCUUCCGCUUUAUACAGAGGAGAGGAUGUCUGUUUUUUUUUUAAACGUGGAGUUUCAGACCUGUACAUGCAUCAUGAAAUAAAGGAACAGUGUGAGAACAGA